rnacentral:rRNA from 1 species
GGAGCCUGAGAAACGGCUACCACUUCUAAGGGAGGCAGCAGGCGCGCAAAUUACCCAAUCCCGGCACGGGGAGGUAGUGACGAAAAAUACGGAAACGGGACUCACUAGAGGCUCCGUUAUUCGAAUGAGUACAAUUUAAAUCCUUUAACGAGGAUCAACUGGAGGGCAAGUCUGGUGCCAGCAGCCGCGGUAACUCCAGCUCCAGAAGCGUAUAUUAAAGUUGUUGCAGUUAAAAAGCUCGUAGUUGGAUCUGGGUCGCAUGGCUACAUGCUGUUGCAUAUAUUCUCCGCCUGGUCACGAUCGGGUUGAGUUUAUAGCUCGGUGUAGUGGUUGUGCAGCCUUUCUGCCGUGUCUGUUUUACAGGUGCUGGCUGGUAGUUUUCUAUCAGUUGGCAUGCUUUCAGAUGCCUUUAAUCGGGUGUCGGGAGCGGACGGCAUGUUUACUUUGAACAAAUUUGAGUGCUCAAAGCAGGCCUUUGUGCCUGAAAAGUCUUGCAUGGAAUAAUGGAAUAGGACUUCGGUUCUAUUUCGUUGGUUUUCGGAUCCGAAGUAAUGGUUAAGAGGGACAGACGGGGGC